AACGAACGCUGGCGGCAUGCCUAACACAUGCAAGUCGAACGAGACCUUCGGGUCUAGUGGCGCACGGGUGCGUAACGCGUGGGAACCUGCCCUUAGGUUCGGAAUAACUCCCCGAAAGGGGUGCUAAUACCGGAUAAUGUCUUCGGACCAAAGAUUUAUCGCCUUUGGAUGGGCCCGCGUUGGAUUAGCUAGUUGGCAGGGUAAAAGCCUACCAAGGCGACGAUCCAUAGCUGGUCUGAGAGGAUGAUCAGCCACACUGGGACUGAGACACGGCCCAGACUCCUACGGGAGGCAGCAGUGGGGAAUAUUGGACAAUGGGCGAAAGCCUGAUCCAGCAAUGCCGCGUGAGUGAUGAAGGCCUUAGGGUUGUAAAGCUCUUUUACCCGGGAUGAUAAUGACAGUACCGGGAGAAUAAGCGCCGGCUAACUCCGUG
rnacentral:rRNA from 1 species